GACGAACGCUGGCGGCGUGCCUAAUACAUGCAAGUCGAACGCACUCUCGUUUAGAUUGAAGGAGCUUGCUCCUGAUUGAUAAACAUUUGAGUGAGUGGCGGACGGGUGAGUAACACGUGGGUAACCUGCCCUAAAGUGGGGGAUAACAUUUGGAAACAGAUGCUAAUACCGCAUAAAACCUAACACCGCAUGGUGUAGGGUUGAAAGAUGGUUUCGGCUAUCACUUUAGGAUGGACCCGCGGUGCAUUAGUUAGUUGGUGAGGUAAAGGCUCACCAAGACCGUGAUGCAUAGCCGACCUGAGAGGGUAAUCGGCCACACUGGGACUGAGACACGGCCCAGACUCCUACGGGAGGCAGCAGUAGGGAAUCUUCCACAAUGGACGAAAGUCUGAUGGAGCAACGCCGCGUGAGUGAAGAAGGUUUUCGGAUCGUAAACUCUGUUGUUGGAGAAGGAAUGUAUCUGAUAGUAACUGAUCAGGUAGUGACGGUAUCCAACC
rnacentral:rRNA from 1 species